UAUCAUACGAAGUAACAAAAGAAGAAGCAAAACAGAUACAGAGGAAGAAAGGUGUAGCACCGAAAAAGGAAACAGGUCUUACUUUCGUCACUAUUUCCUUCCAAAAGAUGGAACAAACAGUUUACUCCUACACACCAAAGUAUAAUAUCGUUGAAAUUUUCAGUUACAUGGGUGGAUACAUCGGCAUCUGGCUUGGAAUUUCCCUAGUAGCUCUUUUUGAAUUUCUGGAAACAACCAUUGCACUUCUCAAGUAUCCCUUCCGAAAGAGACGUCGUCGACUCAAUCCAAAACAUGCGUAGAUCAAUGAUUCCAGAAACAGUUAUAGAAAUGAGACUAAGACUGUGAACAAAAUUGUAUAGCUUUCAUUGUGUUAUCUAAUAAGCCCUAAAUUAAGUUCUUCCCAGUUCGAAAUAUGAAACUUGAGUCCUAAUAAAAACAUCGUUCCAACCUUACUUAAUUUGUACCGCUAUCAACUAAUUGCAUAUGCAGUUUAA